AUGACAGAAAGCCGAUUGAACUCAGUGACAGAGAGCGGAUUGAACUCAGUGACAGAGAGCGGAUUGAACUCAGUUACAGAGAGUGGAUUGAACUCGGUGACAGAAAGCCGAUUGAACUCAGUAAGAGAGAGAGGAUUCUUCAGUUUGGUGGAUGAACCUAUGGUGACAGGAUCGAUCGACUCCCUGCUCGCUAAGCUCAACUUCACCACCAAACUGAAGAAGAGGCGUGCCAAAGUAAUGAAAGAACUAUAUCAAGAUGUGUUGAAACUAAAGAAAGGUUUCGACAAUCUUGGCGGGGGCCGGGUGAUGGAUCCAUGUGCCCUAUUGUGGACGCAGUUUGCUAGAGAUCUGGUCUUUGACAUUGAAGAGUGGGUUGAUGCGAAGCCGGGUUCCGCAAAUUCAUCAAAGAGAGAGUUAAUUGAUCUGUUCAAGCACCGGAUCCAUAAUGUGUGUGAGGAGUUCACGUGGUGCGACCUUCUCGGUCCUACCGAAGAUCAGUUCAAGCUUAUCCAUGAUUUGCAUAAAGAUUUGGAGAGCCUUAAGAAAGAUCUCCCCUAUAAGUUUGGCCCACCGGUGAAUCCUGAGCAGUCAGUGUGGAUGGAUCAAACAUGUGAGCUGGUCAGCAAGGUGGAAACUUUGGUCCAUCAAAAGCCAAUAAAGGACAUGGAUGAAUCAUGGGAAAAACUAAUACAGGAAUACAAGGCCAAAAUACAACAAACACGUGAUACACCCAGUACAGCCCCCAUUUGCUGUCCACUGCUUUCUGAGGAGAAAACCCACAACCUCAUUGGUCUCAAAGGACCAAGUAGUAAGCUUCUCAUGCAUCUGACUUCCUCGCAGGCAAGGCUAAAGCUGGUGUCUGUCGUCGGAAUGGAAGGCCUUGGUAAGACUACUCUUGCCAAGGAGGUAUAUGCAAAGCUUCAAAGCAAGUUCGAGUGCCGAUCUUUUGUUACUGUUGGCAAAAACGCGUAUCUAACUGCCACUCUACUGGAUAUACUUCAUCAAGUAAAGCCACAGGGUACUAUUCCUCGCAAUGGCCCGGGAGCUCCUGAAAUUAACCAAGUCGUAACCGAGCUCAGGGAAUACCUCGUCACAAAGAGCUAUUUCAUCUUAAUUGAUGACAUUUGGAGCAUCCGGGUAUGGGAUAUUCUUAAUUGUGCUUUGCCUGAGGAUGAUCUUGGAAGUAGAGUAUUGAUCACAACUUGCAUCAGCAAUGUUGCCAAAUGUUGUUCUAUGCGCCCCGUUGAUGCCAUCCACCAGAUGGAGCCUCUUAGCGAGGAAGACUCAAAGACAUUAUUUCAUGAGGAGGUAAAAAGGCCCGCUGCAAAUGAGUUGUUGAAAAUGUGCGGUGGCAUGCCAUUGGCAGUAAUUGUUGCAGCCGGCAGGAAAUCUGCAGGACUAGCUGAGUCAGAGAUCGGUGAGCGAUGUAUCCUUUCGACAUCAGACCAAUAUUCCACAUCAGAUGGGAUGAGAAUGAUAUUGCAAAUGAGCUAUGAUGAACUGCCUGCUCCCUUGAAGUCUUGUCUUCUAUACCUUUGUGUUUUCCCAGAAUAUUAUACCAUCAAGAAAGAGCGUUUGAUAUGGCUGUGGAUCGCUGAGGGAUUUAUCUUAGGAAGAUGUGAAGAAAGCUUGUGGAGGACAGGAGAAAUCUCAAAUCUAUUUCAACGAGCUCAUCAGUAG
rnacentral:rRNA from 1 species